AGUAAGGCUGAGUAUUAGGCAAAUCCGGUACUCAUUAAGGCUGAGCUGUGAUGGGGAGAAGACAUUGUGUCUUCGAGUCGUUGAUUUCACACUGCCGAGAAAAGCCUCUAGAUAGAAAAUAGGUGCCCGUACCGCAAACCGACACAGGUAGUCAAGAUGAGAAUUCUAAGGUGAGCGAGCGAACUCUCGUUAAGGAACUCGGCAAAAUGACCCCGUAACUUCGGGAGAAGGGGUGCUCUUUAGGGUUAACGCCCAGAAGAGCCGCAGUGAAUAGGCCCAAGCGACUGUUUAUCAAAAACACAGGUCUCUGCUAAACCGUAAGGUGAUGUAUAGGGGCUGACGCCUG
rnacentral:rRNA from 1 species